rnacentral:sRNA from 1 species
ACUCAACGUUAAUUCUUUAAAAAGGAUGAGUUAAAGUUGUAAAAGCAAGCCACUAAUAUUGAUUUAUUCGGUAUUUGGGUGGAUCCUUGAUCAGCUUGUUAGUCCUAAACUUGUUUUUAAGGAGUUU